rnacentral:tRNA from 1 species
GCGGAGAUGCCGGAGUGGUCAAACGGGCAGCGAUGAGGCCGCUGUGGCUUAGUGCCUACAGGGGUUCAAAUCCUCUUCUCCGCA